AAACGUUCGCUGAAUCGGAGGUACAUUGAAAUAGUGAUUGUAGCUAGGGAUAGGAAUUAUAAUAAUUAUCCUUUGGCAUUAAAAAAAUCUUUAAAAAAAGAUAACAAAAAGGGCUUCUAUUAUACAACAGCUGUCGUAUGUGGUCAUAGCCGUCUCUCAUCACUAAUGAAAAUGUACAUCCUCUAUUUCUUUAUUGUACAAUAUAUUAAACCUGGUACCUAUAAUAAGUUUAUUUGAAUAUUCAAAGAAUAGACAAUAAAUGAGAUUUGCUCAGCAUAUUACAUGUAUCUUUAACAAAAAAAGUAGGAAAAUUGUAGCAAAUUUUAUCAUAUAAAUGCAUAGAAUUAAAUAGAAAUGGAUAAAAAGAUGAAGUUAAGGUACAUGAACAUAUUUAUUUUUAUUAUUUUCUCAGUUUUCUAGUUUUACAUGUAACAUGAAGUUUAGAUAAACACAUUAAAUAAACGCAUUAGAGUAAAUUUAACAAAACGAACACGAAAAGAAAUAAAGCCCCAGUAGGAUACCCUGUUCAAAAGUCAUUAUUCGAUUGAGAGAAAACAAAUCCGGGUUAUAAACUAAAACCGAGGAAACCACUUAAACUGUAAGAGGAAAACAACGAAACAACAGAAACACUGAAAGCCAACAAAACAACAAACGACAAUGCUACAUACAUAGAAACGAACUAUAAGAUAACAACUUCCAUAUUACUGACUUAAACUUACAACAGAUUUUUGAUGAAGCCCUCCUUAAUUUUUAAACACUGAAAAAGGAUAAAUAUAAAUAUAUCGAAGGUUGGCUCUCAUAGAGUAAAAUACUGUCGGGUUGGAAUGACAGAAAUAUUCAAAAUUAUAAACUUGGUCUUUUGGAUUUUCAUUAGAUUCAUCAUGAUUAUGGUUUGAGAAGAGAUAUUUUGUCUGCUUCUGUACAUUGCCCAGAAAAAGAAAAUGGCUGUCCUUACACUGCAAAACUUGAAAAAAUCGAGGUAAGCUUAUUGACGUAAUUUGAACAAACUUAAAAGUUAUGUAUGAUAUAUUUUGAACUUCAGCGUUAACAUUUUUGCAAAAUGUCACCCCACCCCCUCCAACCAACAAAACAAAAGUAAAAGAGAACAGCAGUAAAAUAUAAUUCGUUAGACAUUUAAUGUAUCUACCUCAUGCAAAACUCUGAUUCCUUGCACAGCUUUGGCUUUAUUUUUUGGUCCUUUAUUGUUUAUAGCUCUUCAUAUUUUUAAUAAGCUUUGUAUAUUCAAAUAUUUUGGCCUCGAGCAUCACUAUAUAGUCGAAAUGUGCAUCUUGUGCAUAAAAAAUGGUACCGUUUAUGUCAUUACAGCUUCUAUGAAUGUUAAUCAAAAAAUAAAUUUUAGAUGAAACAUAUCAAAGUGUAUAUUUUCCAUAGAUAGUUACCUCAAAUCAAGUAAAAAUCCCCUUUAAAAUCAUUUUCUUCUGCACAUGAUGUGUCAAAUUGUUAAUAGGUGGGCAAUAUUUUGACAUUUUACAGAGUCACUUGUCAUCAGAUUGUGAGUGGAGGCUUGUAAACUGCACAUUUAAAGACAAAGGAUGCGAUGAAAACAUACGUUACAAGGACCUACAGGAUCAUAUAUCUACAUUGUGCCUACAAGCUCCAGUUGUUUGUGCCUUCUGUCAGUUACCCGUUUUAAGAGGCAAGAUGAGGG
rnacentral:lncRNA from 1 species